rnacentral:rRNA from 1 species
UACAGAGGGUGCGAGCGUUAAUCGGAAUUACUGGGCGUAAAGCGUGCGUAGACGGUUAUGUAAGACAGAUGUGAAAUCCCCGGGCUCAACCUGGGAACUGCAUUUGUGACUGCAUCGCUGGAGUGCGGCAGAGGGGGAUGGAAUUCCGCGUGUAGCAGUGAAAUGCGUAGAUAUGCGGAGGAACACCGAUGGCGAAGGCAAUCCCCUGGGCCUGCACUGACGCUCAUGCACGAAAGCGUGGGGAGCAAACAGG